AGAGGAAAUACAGCUCGAGGAAGGCAUUUCUACAGCUUAUGCCUAAAACACAGCGCCUGGAGUAGUAGCUUGAAUGUUUCUGGACUCAAGGAAUCUCAGAAGUAGACCUACAGGGAGGCAAGAUAGUUUCUCACUGCCUGUUCUAUCACCAUGGAUGGCAUUAUCUCAGUGUGGGCUACUGAACGCUGGUGAUAUCUAGGCAGAAUCCAGGAACUCAGUAAGUCGAGGAACAGAGGCCUCUCACGAGGGAAGACAGUAUCGUUUUAUACUUGUGGAAAUGGCCACAAUCCUAUUCAUCUUACAGUUAUGGAGGACAGCCAUCCACAACAACUUUCCUGGGGUCUCCCUAUACAAUAUCUAACCUGGGCUGGCCUGGAACUCACUAGACAGGAGCCUAGCACUGCUGCCCUCUGAGAGGCCCUACAAGCAGCUGAACAAGUCAGAUGCAGACACUUACACCCAAACAAUGGAGAGAAGCUGGGGACCCCUGUGGUUGAAUUAAGGAAAGGCUGGAAAGCUGAGG
ensembl:lincRNA 1810006J02Rik RIKEN cDNA 1810006J02 gene